CCCUUAGAUGUUCUGGGCCGCACGCGCGCUACACUGACGAAUGCAACGAGCUUAUACCUUGGCCGAAAGGUCUGGGUAAUCUCCAAAUUUCGUCGUGAUGGGGAUAGAUUAUUGCAAUUAUUAAUCUUCAACGAGGAAUGCCUAGUAAGCGCAAGUCAUCAGCUUGCGUUGAUUACGUCCCUGCCCUUUGUACACACCGCCCGUCGCUCCUACCGAUUGAAUGGUCCGGUGAAGCGUUCGGACCGUGGCCUUUGGACGGUUCGCCGUCUGUUGGCUGCGGGAAGUUCGUUAAACCUUAUCAUUUAGAGGAAGGAGAAGUCGUANCA
rnacentral:rRNA from 1 species